UACGUAGGGUGCAAGCGUUAAUCGGAAUUACUGGGCGUAAAGCGUGCGCAGGCGGUUGUGCAAGACCGAUGUGAAAUCCCCGGGCUUAACCUGGGAAUGGCAUUGGUGACUGCACGGCUAGAGUGUGUCAGAGGGGGGUAGGAUUCCACGUGUAGCAGUGAAAUGCGUAGAGAUGUGGAGGAAUACCGAUGGCGAAGGCAGCCCCCUGGGAUAACACUGACGCUCAUGCACGAAGGCGUGGGGAGCAAACAGG
rnacentral:rRNA from 1 species